rnacentral:rRNA from 1 species
GACGAACGCUGGCGGCGUGGAUUAGGCAUGCAAGUCGAACGGUAGGAUACCUUCGGGUAUCUGAGAGUGGCGAACGGGUGAGUAACACGUAGGUGAUCUACCCUCAAGAUUGGGACAACCCAGGGAAACUUGGGCUAAUACCGGAUGAAAGCAGCAGUGAUGUUGUUUGAAAGGUGGCGUAAGCUGCCGUUUGGGGAUGAGCCUGCGCUCUAUUAGUUAGUUGGCGGGGUAAAGGCCCACCAAGGCGAUGAUAGAUAGGCGGCCUUAAACGGGUGGUCGCCCACACCUGGGAUUGAGAUACGGCCCAGACUCCUAACGGGAGGCAGCAGUCGAGAAUAGUCUACAAUGGCCGAAAGGCUGAUAGUGCAACGCCGCGUGAACGAAGAAGCCCUUCGGGGUUAAAGGUUCUUUUAUAUGUGAGCAGUGCUUUCUAUGUGACAGCAUGGGGAGAGAGAUAUUAGCAUAUGAAUAAGCAAACGGCUAAACUCCGUGCC